GACUGCUGGGAGUUUCUACGGCCCUGGGAGACGACACUGCUGGGAGAGCAAAACUUAGCAGAGACAUGGACCUGCUUUUCAAAGGGCUCUGUGCAUGUGCAGCUGCCAGCAAUUUCAACAGGGAUUUCUAGAUUUUCAUCUGUAUUCUGAACUGCAAUAUUGAGAGGUGCUGAUAUCCGCUGCUGAAAUACAGUGUGCUGUGUCUUGUGGCUGAUCUCAUUCACCAGGACUCAUCUCUAUUUUCGUGCUAUUGUGCUUCCCCAAAACCUCUGGGACGUGGGUUUCUCUGCAGCCAACUGCCACUGAGGGGACAGAUUUCACUUCACUGUGAUAUUUUUAGACAUAUUGCUUCAUAAAAGUGUUCACCUCUCAGUUCCUGAGAUCAGCUGAUCGGAGCCAGCUCGGCGGGUCCCGAUUCAGCGAAAUCUUCGAGGUACAGAGGAGCCUUUUUUAUUUUUUUCUGUCUGAAUCGGGCACUUUCGCUCUCGGGACACCCGGCAGCUCCCGGCAGCCCUUGCGAGAGCAGCUGACGUGAAGUGGGCGCUACCGCGGCAAGGGCCAUCACGCCCCCGCCCCUCGCCUUGAAAAAGCCUCAGGGAUGGCAUUUGUCCGUCUCCGGUAGCAUCGUCACAGCUAAACUGAGGGAGUGCGGUCUGGACAACCGGGUAGUGAGGUGGACUGUGAACUGGCUGAAGGAAAGAAGCCAGAGAGUUGUGGUCAAUGGGGCGGAGUCCAGUUGGAGGUCUGUAUCUAGUGGAGUGCCUCAGGGGUCAGUACUGGGGCUGCUAUUAUUCAAUAUCUUCAUCAAUGAUUUGGACAAGGGAAUAGAGUGUACUAUCAGCAAGUUUGCUGAUGACACGAAGCCGGGAGGAGUGGCUGACACACCAGAAGGCUGUGCUGCCAUCCAGAGACCUGGACAGGCUGGAGAGUUGGGCAGGGAAAAAUUUAAUGAAAUAUAACAAGGGGAAGUCUAGAGUCGUACAUCUGGGUAGGAACAACCCCAGGUUCCAGUAUAAGUUGGGGAAUGACCUGUUAGAGAGCAGUGUAGGGGAAAGGGACUUGGGGGUCCUGGUGGACAGCAGGAUGACCAUGAGCCAGCACUGAGCCCUUGUGGCCAGGAAGGCCAAUGGCAUCCUGGGGUGUAUUAGAAGGGGGGUGGUUAGUAGGUCGAGAGAGGUUCUCCUUCCCCUCUACUCUGCCCUGGUGAGACCACAUCUGGAAUAUUGUGUCCAGUUCUGGGCCUCUCAGUUCCAGAAGGACAGGGAACUGCUGGAGAGAGUCCAGCGUAGGGCAACUAAGAUGAUUAAGGGAGUGUAACAUCUCCCUUAUGAGGAAAGGCUGAGGGAGCUGGGUCUCUUUAGCUUGGAGAAGAGGAGACUGAGGGGCGACCUCAUUAAUGUUUAUAAAUAUGUAAGGGGUGAGGGUCAUGAGGAUGGAGGCAGGCUCUUCUUGGUGACAACCAAUGAUAGGACAAGGGGUAAUGGGUUCAAACUGGAACACAAGAGGUUCCACUUAAAUUUGAGAAGAAACUUCUUAGUGAGGGUGACAGAGCACUGGAACAGGCUGCCCAGGGGCGUUGUGGAGUCUCCUGCUCUGGAGACAUUCAAAACCUGCUUGGACACCUUCCUGUGUAACCUCAUCUGGGUGUUCCUGCUCUGGCUGGGGGAUUGGACUAGAUGAUCUUUUGAGGUCCCUUCCAAUCCCUAACAUUCUGUGAUUCUGUGAUGCCUGAUGGGUUUGAGUGGUGUGGAACAUACGGUCUUCCAGUGGCAGACAUUAGGUUUCCUGACCAUAGCAAUCCAAACUGCUAUGCCCAUAAAUAAGCCCAAGUGCCAAGUCAGAAUCUAACAGUGAGUUAAUACUAGUUAGUGCACAUAAUUGAAAGAAAGCCUACAUUAGUCUAAGCGUACAUUUCCAACUCAAUACUCUGCUUUUCUGUAUAGCUGUAUAUGAACACCCAUUAUAAUUUUUGCCUCCUCUUUCCCACCCACAAUUUAAUUUGCCAUUAUCUUCUACCGUGGAUGACACUUCUGUUGCUGUUAAAAAAAGCUUUGAUGCUUACAUGCUAAGGUAUUUUGCAAAUUAAUGAAUUAAAGUACUUUUACAGGUAGGAGUCAGAUUUGAAAACAAGUCAUUAAACUAAAUUGUAACCAAUGACACAUAGCAGCAUAAUUGCUAUGACAGAUUCUGCAAGGGUAGGCAACAAUUGGCCUCCACAAAUAUCACAUAUUUUUCACUUACCAUAACACUUUAUGGGUCUAAGGGCAACUCUUUCCAGCAAUAAAUUAUUUAUCAGCUCUCAAA